rnacentral:lncRNA from 1 species
UUCUCAAGUUUUUUGCAGCAGCCAUCUCCUGAACCCUAGCCGCCACCCCCCAUCUCCUCUUCUCCAAGUGUCGUUCUUCCUCGUCGGAUCUUCUUCGUGUGGGUGCAAGUUUCAAUUGGAGAAUUGGUGGGAGGAAGGAAGGAGGAAAAAGGUGGAACUCAAGGUGAUCUUGAAGUUAUCUUUGUUUUUGCGCUAAAAUUCAAUUGAUUAUAUGUUUAUCUAUGCGAAUCGGUAGAGGUGCUGUCCAGAAUUUUUGUAGGAGGGCGAACAGCAGUAGUUCUAUGGAUUUCUGGGAAUUUUUCGUGGGCAAUUAGUGGGGACCAGUGGAAGAAUCAUGUAGAGCUUUGUCAUACCUUUCCAACGAGUACUUAUGCGCUCGAUUCGGAGUUAUAAUUUAGGAGAUAUCGUUGUUUGAAUCCGGUUAUGUUGCUGUCCAAAAAAACAGAUUUUUCAGGUGGGUGAACAGCAAUAGUAUUAGCAGUUCCUGGGAAUUUUUCGUGGGUAAUUACUGUUAACCAGUAUAAUAAUCAUGUAGGGCUUUGUCUUAUCUUUCCAAUGAAUACUUAUGCGCUUGAUUUGGAAUUCUAUUUUAAAAGAUACCGCUGUUUGAAUCCGGGUAUGUCGCUGUCCAAAAGACAAAAAAAACAUAUUACAGGGUUCAUCUUGUGGACUGUUUUGGGCUAAUUAGAUGUUGGAAUUUAAUUAUAAAUUGUAUACAAAAUUUGUGGGGAAUUUUAUGUAGAUGCCUCUGGAGUUUUUGUUUGUUACCACUGCUGUCAUAAUUUUAAAGUUAUGAAAUUAUUAAGCAGCGCCGCUGCAGUUUGGUGGGUGUGGGGAGAGAUGUAACCCGCGGCGGGGUUUGAGUUUGUGCGUAGGUGCGGUGUCUUUUAUGAGCCUGAUUAUGUGAAAUUGGUGCACUAAGUUGUGUAUCAAAAACAGGUGGUGGACUUCCGGAUCGUACUUAGGGAUUUGCCCGAACUUCC